GGGAGGCAGCAGUGGAGGAAUAUUGGACAAUGGAGGCAACUCUGAUCCAGCCAUGCCGCGUGCAGGAAGACUGCCCUAUGGGUUGUAAACUGCUUUUAUAUGGGAAGAAUAAGGUCUACGUGUAGAUCGAUGACGGUACCAUAAGAAUAAGCACCGGCUAACUCCGUGCCAGCAGCCGCGGUAAUACGGAGGGUGCAAGCGUUAUCCGGAAUCAUUGGGUUUAAAGGGUCCGUAGGCGGGCAUAUAAGUCAGUGGUGAAAGUCUGCAGCUUAACUGUAGAACUGCCAUUGAUACUGUAUGUCUUGAAUUAUUGUGAAGUGGUUAGAAUAUGUAGUGUAGCGGUGAAAUGCUUAGAGAUUACAUAGAAUACCGAUUGCGAAGGCAGAUCACUAACAAUAUAUUGACGCUGAUGGACGAAAGCGUAGGUAGCGAACAGGAUUAGAUACCCUGGUAGUCUACACCGUAAACGAUGAAUACUAGUUGUUUGGCUUUCGGGCUGAGUGACUAAGCGAAAGUGAUAAGUAUCCCACCUGGGGAGUACGUUCGCAAGAAUGAAACUCAAA
rnacentral:rRNA from 1 species